rnacentral:rRNA from 1 species
AUUGAACGCUGGCGGCAGGCUUAACACAUGCAAGUCGAGCGAGCGGAGGACGGGUGGGUAAUGUCUGGGAAACUGCCUGAUGGAGGGGGAUAACUACUGGAAACGGUAGCUAAUACCGCAUACCAUCAGAUGUGCCCAGAUGGGAUUAGCGAGUAGGGGGGGUAACGGCUCACCUAGGCGACGAUCCCUAGCUGGUCUGAGAGGAUGACCAGCCACACUGGAACUGAGACACGGUCCAGACUCCUACGGGAGGCAGCAGUGGGGAAUAUUGCAAAAGGGGCGAAAGCCUGAUGAAGCCAUGCCGCGUGUGUGAAGAAGGCCUUCGGGUUGUAAAGCACUUUUAGCGGGGAGGCGUUACUCGCAGAAGAAGCCACGGCUAACUCCGUGCCAGCAGCCGCGGUAAUAC